GGUCGUUUGGAACGAGGGCGAGCUCACAUCGACGGGAAGGUUUGACACCUCGAUGUCGGCUCUUCGCCACCUAGGGCUGUAGUAUGUUCCAAGGGUUGGGUUGUUCGCCCAUUAAAACGGUACGUGAGCUGGGUUCAUGAUCAGAACGUCGUGAGAUAGUUC
rnacentral:ncRNA from 1 species